CAGACAUCACAGAGGUAAACAUUACCAGCUGAAUUUAUUUCAUAAUAUAACUAUUUCUAAUCUCCUGCCGGUUUGAGGAACAGCUCGGGUAAAUGUCACCAUGAUAGCGCAGUUCCGAUUUGUUUCAAACGCUUGUUUUGGUUUCGUUUUCAGAAAUCCCAUUAAAUAUACAGUCUUUGUUUCGUACAAUACUUUAACUGAGGUUCAGGAUGAAUCUGCUUUAGUCAACACAUGAACCUGCAUGUUGUGCUAUUCCGACAAUGUUAAUUUGAAAGUGUUUUGACGCUCGAUGGACAGAUACUUACCGUAAAAGUCAGUUUAAUUCCUCUACUGAAAGACACAUUUUAAGAACAUAACUCAGUACAUGAAGUGUUGUCAAGAUGUUUAAGAUAUUUUUAUUUCUCAUAGCUGGCACAGAGCCAGGAUGGCAGCGACCGUAUUUGUGAGAGUUGCUCGGGAUUUGGAGCCCUGCAGCAGAGCCAUAGGUCAGGAGUAUUUGGAUUGGGUUUACCGUUUUGUAACAAGGUACAGAUCUGAGAAGUUACCCUUGAACAAACCAGCCGGCGCCGUCCUGAAGAUCUGUGGGCUGGAGGACACCGAGUACAAGGAGAAGCUAGACGAGGUCACCGGCUGGGGAAAGUUCUACCUUCGGGACAUUGUGGACAUGCGGGUUGUGGGUGUGGUGGAGGGAACCUCCUGCCCUGUCGGUGACUUGGUCCUGUUGACGUGUGAGGACAAAAAGCUGUAUGGAUACGAUGGAGAGGAGCUGCAUGUGGUGGCUCCAAAUCUCCCCAAGGCCAUAAAUGACAAGAAAAUCGACUAUCCUGCAUCCGAGAGCUAUUACAACGGCGAGGCUUUCAAAGAUAUGACUGAGAGGGACUGGAAGGGUGUGAAGAUGGGACCUGUAGGACAACGCUUGGAGGAAGAGUACAAACGAAUGGUGCAACAAAAGAAGCAUUCAUUCAUGCAGAGCCUGAAGUCACCAGCACACUCAUAAGGGGUGUGUGAGUGAAUAUUGAGAGAAAAGUGGUUCUGCUGUAGGGCUGCACGAUACUGGAAAAAAAAUGACUUUGCAGUUUUUUUUCUAACCCUGCAGCAUAAAAAAAUUCUCAACAAAUGAAGUUAAUAGCACUUUGAGUUAUGCUGCACUCCUGACAUCUCUUUGACAGUUAACCUUUUCAUUACUCAUUUUUCAGUGUUGUUACCAGCAACUCACUCCAUGUGCAGGGGUGUGGUCGACUUCAAUAAAGUGAUAAAGAACGAGUUUGAUUAGUGGAUCGCUGUGCAGUGUGUUUGUCAGGAACGUUGAGUUCAUUUCAGUGAAGAGUCGAAAUUAUGAGAUGAGGAAAGCUGGCUAUCUGGCUCUUUUCAUGUACGUAAUCCUUCUUUUUGCUGACAAAAUAAAGUAUUCCUGAAUAAAAUUUACUUUGUUUGGAAUUUAUCCUCCACAGUUU
rnacentral:lncRNA from 1 species